rnacentral:rRNA from 1 species
UAGGGAAUCUUCCGCAAUGGGCGAAAGCCUGACGGAGCAACGCCGCGUGAGUGAAGAAGGAUUUCGGUUCGUAAAGCCCUGUUGUUAGGGAAGAAUGAUUGUGUAGUAACUAUACACAGUAGAGACGGUACUUAACCAGAAAGCCACGGCUAACUACGUGCCAGCAGCCGCGGUAAUACGUAGGUGGCAAGCGUUGUCCGGAAUUAUUGGGCGUAAAGCGCGCGCAGGUGGUUUAAUAAGUCUGAUGUGAAAGCCCACGGCUCAACCGUGGAGGGUCAUUGGAAACUGUUAAACUUGAGUGCAGGAGAGAAAAGUGGAAUUCCUAGUGUAGCGGUGAAAUGCGUAGAGAUUAGGAGGAACACCAGUGGCGAAGGCGGCUUUUUGGCCUGUAACUGACACUGAGGCGCGAAAGCGUGGGGAGCAAACAGGAUUAGAUACCCUGGUAGUCCACGCCGUAAACGAUGAGUGCUAAGUGUUGGUCUCAUAAGAGAUCAGUGCUGCAGCUAACGCAUUAAGCACUCCGCCUGGGGAGUACGACCGCAAGGUUG